rnacentral:rRNA from 1 species
UACGUAGGGCGCAAGCGUUGUCCGGAAUUAUUGGGCGUAAAGAGCUCGUAGGCGGCCUGUCGCGUCUGCUGUGAAAUCCCGGGGCUUAACCCCGGGCGUGCAGUGGAUACGGGCUGGCUGGAGGCAGGCAGGGGAGAACGGAAUUCCCGGUGUAGCGGUGAAAUGCGCAGAUAUCGGGAGGAACACCGGUGGCGAAGGCGGAUCUCUGGGCCGUAACUGACGCUGAGGAGCGAAAGCAUGGGGAGCGAACAGG